CACGGCCCAGACUCCUACGGGAGGCAGCAGUGGGGAAUAUUGCACAAUGGGCGCAAGCCUGAUGCAGCGACGCCGCGUGAGGGAUGACGGCCUUCGGGUUGUAAACCUCUUUCGCCAGGGACGAAGCGAGAGUGACGGUACCUGGAGAAGAAGCACCGGCUAACUACGUGCCAGCAGCCGCGGUAAUACGUAGGGUGCGAGCGUUGUCCGGAAUUAUUGGGCGUAAAGAGCUCGUAGGCGGUUUGUCGCGUCGGCCGUGAAAACUGGAGGCUUAACCUUCAGCUUGCGGUCGAUACGGGCAGACUUGAGUUCGGUAGGGGAGACUGGAAUUCCUGGUGUAGCGGUGAAAUGCGCAGAUAUCAGGAGGAACACCGGUGGCGAAGGCGGGUCUCUGGGCCGAUACUGACGCUGAGGAGCGAAAGCGUGGGGAGCGAACAGGAUUAGAUACCCUGGUAGUCCACGCUGUAAACGUUGGGCGCUAGGUGUGGGCGACAUCCACGUUGUCCGUGCCGUAGCUAACGCAUUAAGCGCCCCGCCUGGGGAGUACGGCCGCAAGGCUAAAACUCAAAGGAAUUGACGGGGGCCCGCACAA
rnacentral:rRNA from 1 species